AAAAUGCGAUAAGUAAUGUGAAUUGCAGAAUUCAGUGAAUCAUCGAAUCUUUGAACGCACAUUGCGCCCCCUGGUAUUCCGGGGGGCAUGCCUGUCCGAGCGUCAUUACGCACCCUCAAGCCCGGCUUGUGUGAUGGGCCCCGGCGUCUCGUUCGCGAGACGGGCCCGAAAGGCAGCGGCGGCGUCGACCCGAUGAGCCCGAGCGUAUGGGGACUUCUGUCACACGUUCGCGGUGCGGACCGGCGCCUGCUUGACUUUUCUGAUUAUCCAGGUUGACCUCGGAUCAGGUAGGGAUACCCGCUGAACUUAAGC
rnacentral:misc_RNA from 1 species